rnacentral:rRNA from 1 species
UACGUAGGCAGCAAGCGUUGUUCGGAGUUACUGGGCGUAAAGGGUGCGUAGGCGGUUCUGUAAGUAUGGUGUGAAAUCUCCCGGCUUAACUGGGAGGGUGCGCUAUAAACUGCGGGGCUAGAGUGUGGGAGAGGAAAGUGGAAUUCCUGGUGUAGCGGUGAAAUGCGUAGAUAUCAGGAGGAACACCGAUGGCGAAGGCAGGUCUCUGGGCUGACACUGACGCUCAUGCACGAAAGCGUGGGGAGCAAACAGG